rnacentral:lncRNA from 1 species
GGUGGCAGGGGUGUGCAUUCGAUUUUGAGUUUGGACUUUUAUUAAAAUUAAAUCAAAUAAAAUAAAUUAAAUUUAUAUUUAAUUUAAAAAUAAAAUAAAAUUAAAUCGAAUAAACUAAAUUAAAAUAACCAAAAUUUUUAGAAUUAAAUCCAAACCAAAUCCAGAAAUCGAAAUAAUCUAGAAAAAAUUGGAAAAAAAAAAAUCAAGAAAACCAAAAAUUUGAAAAAAUUUAAAUUAAAAAUAAGUAAAGUGAAAUUUAAUUGUAUUUAAUUUUAAAUUACAUAUACUCCUUCCUUCCCCCAUAAAUAUGCAUAAUUACUUCCGGC